rnacentral:other from 1 species
CCUCCCCUGCCAGGUUUGUGAUCGACAGGUAAUUUUAGAACCAACAUUCUAUAAAAGGGAGCCUUUCCUGGCUGUCGGACGGCAUGUCUCCUUGCGGGAAAGCCGGAUGUGGUUCACAGGGCGCCCACCUGUUCUGAACAGGUUCGAAAUACCUUCGACACGGCCUGCGCGGGGGGGAA